rnacentral:snoRNA from 1 species
UUCCCCGCACAGUCAUAGAAUCAUCUCUAUAGUACACGUCUCUCGCUGAUUUCCUCAAAUUAGCCACAAACUCCAACCUGGAAGAUGACUGCUGUCCUCGACGCCCGAGAGUGAAGCCUUGUACUCUCGAUCCCUUCCCUCCAGCUGGCGAAGCAAGGCCUUCGGGCCGAGCUGACCCUCUGGUUGCGAACAGAGAGUGGUGAUGAUCUCGACCCUGUCUCGGCGUCUGGCUUCGGUCGGCUGAGCUGGGUGGGUGUUGAUGGAGGUCUGACAGGC